GCCAGUGUGGCAUAGUAGUUUGAGUAUUGGAUUACAACUCUGGAGACCAGGGUUCGAUUCCCAGCUUGGCCA
rnacentral:tRNA from 1 species